ensembl:lncRNA
GUGUGUUUGCGUGGCAAUCAAAAAACAGUUUUCCGAAUGCCGCCGAGAUCAGAAAGAGACAGACAAAGACACGCUUUGCCCCAUGCGGAGAGAUGUGAAGUCAAUGAUGUGUCGUGCAAUAAUGGAGUCACAUUUCUGCCUCAUUUGUGCGGCCAAAAACUCCCGGCAACUCGCAGCUCGUCUCCGCUCGCGCGCCUCGCCGCAUCCCGUCCGCGCACGCACAACCUCGCAAGCAGCCGUGACGCGCGGGAGGAGGGAGAACGCGGAGGUCAGAGAAAAAAGGAGGCUCCUGACGGAAGGAUGCAUGUGGGGGCAGAGACAAAGCACCUGGCUGAAAAGGUGAGUCACAGAAGCAGGUAAUUGCUCUGACAUUUACUUCUAAUGAAGGAUUGGGACGAUAAUGGGACCUAUUUGCAUUAGUAGAAAAAAACACACACACACACACACACACACGUAGAGGCAACAAACGCACACAUGCACACUUAAAGAGUCCUCCUCAACACUUAGCACAGUGCAAAGCUGCGCUCCAGAGCCUGACUCACACACAUUACGCGCCAAUGCGGAGGAGGGAGAAAGUGCAUCGAGGCCUCAGACGAGACGACGGUGAAGAGGACGAGCGCGGCGCAGCGGGGACGAAGGACAGGAGGGGAGACGAGGGGAGAGAGGUCACCGACGCGGGAGACGCUGACCCAUUUUCUCCCCCCCCUCCCCUCCCCUCUCUCUCUCUUCCAGGUGUUUUGUGUGACCGUCUUGCAAAGGCAGGACGGGGAUCUCUGCUCUUUCGUUCAGUCAAGGUGUUCUGUGGGAGCCGCAAGACGUGAUGCUCGAAUCCUGUGGAAAAAGAGGUGUUUCUUUAAAAAAAAGAAGAAAAAAAAAAUGUCAACGGCUGAAAAGCACAAAGAGCAAAACAGACGCGGCCUUGGGAACCGAGAGGAAAAAAUAUAGUUUUUUUUAAAAAUGAAGUGAGAGGCGGUAAGACAGUUAGAAAAAAAAAAAAGAAAAGAAAAGUGAGAGCGAGAAAGAAAGAAGUGCAUUUCCCCGACAUGAGUCACUUCUGAGUGAAAGCUUUGUAAUUUAAGCCGCACGCAGCGAAAGAAAGAACGAAAGAGGGACAGAUGCAGCGGCACCGACGUGGAGAGACGUGGACAUUUACCCAACGCCGACAACAGCAGCACCGUGCGUUCCUGACGUUACAAAACCAUCUGGGUUAAUUCCAAUUUAAAACAGUGCCACAGAACAGGUGGACUCCACAUUAACUGCACGUUGGCGUUCCUCUAAAGUGGAUGUGGUCCACGGUGUCUCUCACACUUCAACCACCACAUCCUCCCGUGGAGCUUCAUUUAUGCACAUUGAAAAGACAAGCGGACGCCGACAGGACGCAGUUUGUCAUUUCGGAUCAUGGUUGUAAUUGUUAUGUAAUUGUUAUAAUGUUUAAUGCGAAAAAGUUCCAGCGAGUGUCCCCGAAUGUCUUCGGGCAGGACUUAGUCAAGUAUCAAGUAUCAAGAGUCAAAUAUUGACAGUGGGACCAUUUUCGACAAGGAAGUAAUAUCUCGUAUGGAAAGUUUCCGUCGAGGGCUUUCUAGAUAAAUAGAAACCAAUGCGUGUCAAUGCGACGAUAACUGGCGUAAUCAACUGAAUCAACGGGUUUAACAGUGGAGGCGUGUCUGCAGACAAUAAUACAGAUAAGCUCAAUAAUACAGAUAAGCCUUAAUUGUUUGUUUUUGUACUCAACACGGCAAAAUUGAUUCUGCUUUAAUGUCAGUUCUUGUAUUUAUUGUAUCUUUGUUGAUGAGUUUGCCAGAAGUUUUAUACCUGAUAACCGU